GCUUAGUGGUGGGGUGACUGCGUACCUUUUGUAUAAUGGGUCAGCGACUUAUAUUCUGUAGCAAGGUUAACCGUAUAGGGGAGCCGGAGGGAAACCGAGUCUUAAUUGGGCGUUAAGUUGCAGGGUAUAGACCCGAAACCCGGUGAUCUAGCCAUGGGCAGGUUGAAGGUUGGGUAACACUAACUGGAGGACCGAACCGACUAAUGUUGAAAAAUUAGCGGAUGACCUGUGGCUGGGGGUGAAAGGCCAAUCAAACCGGGAGAUAGCUGGUUCUCCCCGAAAGCUAUUUAGGUAGCGCCUCGUGAAUUCAUCUCCGGGGGUAGAGCACUGUUUCGGCUAGGGGGCCAUCCCGGCUUACCAACCCGAUGCAAACUGCGAAUACCGGAGAAUGUUAUCACGGGAGACACACGGCGGGUGCUAACGUCCGUCGUGAAGAGGGAAACAACCCAGACCGCCAGCUAAGGUCCCAAAGUCAUGGUUAAGUGGGAAACGAUGUGGGAAGGCCCAGACAGCCAGGAUGUUGGCUUAGAAGCAGCCAUCAUUUAAAGAAAGCGUAAUAGCUCACUGGUCGAGUCGGCCUGCGCGGAAGAUGUAACGGGGCUAAACCAUGCACCGAAGCUGCGGCAGCGACACUGUGUGUUGUUGGGUAGGGGAGCGUUCUGUAAGCCUGCGAAGGUGGCCUGUGAGGGUUGCUGGAGGUAUCAGAAGUGCGAAUGCUGACAUAAGUAACGAUAAAGCGGGUGAAAAGCCCGCUCGCCGGAAGACCAAGGGUUCCUGUCCAACGUUAAUCGGGGCAGGGUGAGUCGACCCCUAAGGCGAGGCCGAAAGGCGUAGUCGAUGGGAAACGGGUUAAUAUUCCCGUACUUGGUGUUACUGCGAAGGGGGGACGGAGAAGGCUAUGUUGGCCGGGCGACGGUUGUCCCGGUUUAAGCGUGUAGGUGUGUGUUCCAGGUAAAUCCGGUU
rnacentral:rRNA from 1 species